GGAGCUUCCAUUGAAUUUUAGACUAGAGCAACAGGAGCCAUUAGCCAACGCGAAUAUAUUGUGUUAUUACGACUCCGGUCGCUGCUGCCCUCUGAUGGCGCCCGCCAACGGGAAGCCGAUUCGAAUUAUUUCACUUGAGCAAAUAAUCCCUAUUUCUGAUGAAUAUAUUGCGCAAUAUUAUAAUUAUUAUAAUCCUCAUCAUCCGAUAGCAAAUUCAAUAUCGUUCAUUACCAAUUUGAAUACCAGCGCGUUCUAGAGUUCGAGAUAUCCUUGUUAUUCUGCGGUCGUUCAGUAUCCUCCUGCAACCAGCUGCAACGUAUAACAUACACAGUAUGUUGUGUUUGUGUGUGGUAAACCAGCAUAAUUCAAUGAAAGCUCAAAAAGAAAAUAAAAAAGCAUACCUCAAGCGAUACCUGUCCAAAGAUGUUAAUAAAAAGAAAAGAUGAAACCGAAGGUUAGACAAAAAGCAGUGCAGUUAAUAGAUGACAGAAUUCACUUUGAAAAGUUAACAUGGAUUACCGAUCACUGAUGAUGGAAUUACAGAUCUUAAUUCACCAAUAAAUUAUAAGCAUAAAAAAAACUUAAAUUAAUGAAAACUACAGCAAAAGAACAUCCAGUUCCAGGCAAAAUUCAAAGAAUUACGAUUCGGACUUGAGUCCGCCAAGACAAUCCAGACAUAAAGAAACAAAAUAACAACAGAAAAUGAUAAGAAUGGCCUUCAAAAUUUGAAAUCACUGAAAAAAAGAAGAGAAAGCACAGAAAAAACAUAAAUAAGCAUACUAACGAAUGUUUUUGAUUGUAGGUUAAAGCAAGUUUGUGAUCACAAAAGAGCACCAGAGUAUCCAACAAAUUCGUAUAUGCCAAACAGAUUUGGUAUCCGACUGGGAGAUCGUUGGGAUGGAGUUGACCGAAGCAAUGGUUAUGAAAAAAAAUUAAUAAAUGAAUAUUUUUGUAUAUUUUGUAAGACACUGAAAAGACUGAAUUUAUGCACACUUAGCUAUGACUUAUACAGAAACUGAAAAUAAAUUGGUGCACAUAAUCCAGUGGCUCACUUAAUAUUUCUCCCACAGAAAUAUGGAAAACUUGAUAUUACAUGUUGUAGUAAAACUACCUACUAAUGUUGCCUAGCAAAAUAAAAGUAUUAAGAUCAGGAA